UACAUUGUGUGUCAACUCCUGAAGUGUC
rnacentral:piRNA from 1 species